AGCUUUGCUCAGUGGCAGUAUCGUACCCAAUGAGGUUUAUCCGAGGCGUGAUUAUUGAUAGAGGCUGCAACCAUCUUGGAUCAUGAGGUGGAAGCCACAUGCCUUAAGAAGGACAGAGGUAAAAGGUAGAAGGGGUCUGGGGCCUGAGAAUUUUGUGAAGCUCCUUAUCAGC
rnacentral:snRNA from 1 species